rnacentral:lncRNA from 1 species
UAUCCUGGGAAUCACAGUCAGGCUCUCAGUCUUGGCUGUAAGUGCUUCUGGGAACAAGAGCAAGACUCAGAGGCAACUCCAUCCCAGCUCCUGCCUCUCCUGUGAUCAUGUGCCAGCUGGAAUGGUACCAAAGUCAAAACAAUUAAUAACAAACCUGAAUGUCCUAGUUUAACCAUUAACAGUGUGUGGUUGAAUUAGGAAGGAACUCAGCCCCCUCACGUCAGAUCUGAAUAAAGUUCUAGACUGUUAGCUUCUGAAGACCUGGGAGUCCUCUUGCUUCUUGUGCUCAUGCCCAGUGCUGAACUCAGCUCCACUCCCAUAAGCGGCAACUGAUCCCUUCUGCCUGCUUGCCCCAAGGUACCUGUGAGAUUAGUGCCCUGGCACUGCCUAAGCUGAAGCUCGGUGUGGCCAAGGUCUGCUGCCAUUUCUUUUGUGCCUUUUCUGACCUCUCCCAGAGAGGAUCUGCUGCUGCCUCAAAUACUGAUGGGAAUGCCUGUCAGCAG